rnacentral:pre_miRNA from 1 species
CUUUUAGUAUAAGUAUGUCCCAUGCAGUAUUAGGGCAAUGUUUGGAACAUACUUAUACUAAAA